CUCGCUUGAACUCAGUUCUGACACCUCUCAGGCAGACACCAUUAUAAGAGAGCAAGGGACGUGUUUGUGGUCAGUUCCGGUCAGUGGCGAAGCUGCAUGCUCCGCUACUGCGGGCGGAGAGCAGGCGAUGGCAUGGCUGGCACCCUCCGUGCGGAGGAGGGUGCACCCCGGGGACGUGGCGCACAUCCUGGGGGUGUGGCACACCACCUGCAGGAGCAUGGUGCGCAUCCUGGGGACAUGGUAUGCUGUCUGCAAGGGCGUGACGCACGUUCUGGG